GACGAACGCUGGCGGCGUGCUUAACACAUGCAAGUCGAACGGAAAGGCCCUGCUGUUUUGGGGUGCUCGAGUGGCGAACGGGUGAGUAACACGUGAGUAACCUGCCCUUGACGUUGGGAUAACUACAGGUAACUUGGUCUAAUACCGGAUAGGAGCUUCAGCUGCAUGGUGGGGGUUGGAAAGUUUCGGCGGGUGGGGAUGGACUCGCGGCUGAUCAGCUUGUUGGUGGGGUAGUGGCUUACCAAGGCUUUGACGGGUAGCCGGCCUGAGAGGGUGACCGGCCACAUUGGGACUGAGAUACGGCCCAGACUCCUACGGGAGGCAGCAGUGGGGAAUAUUGCACAAUGGGCGGGAGCGUGAUGCAGCAACGCCGCGGGCGGGAUGACGGCCUUCGGGUUGUAAACCGCUUUCGCCUGUGACGAAGCGUGAGUGACGGUAAUGGGUAAAGAAGCACCGGCUAACUACGUG
rnacentral:rRNA from 1 species